AGAGCGAUCACGCCUGUCCUUGCAGUGUAUCGCUGCUUUUUAUAAAACACUCAAUCACAUUUGGCCUGAGAAAAACCUGUGAGGCCGGGCCAGACUGUCCCAGCUGGGUUCUUGCUCAGAGGACACCUCGGUGGGGACCUGGGGCUUCUCCCGCAGGCAGGCGGUGCUGCCCAGAGUGCUGGCAUUCUGCUCCUCCACCUUGCAGGGACACUCAGGAGGUCGCGGCCUCCUAGAAAGAGCCCUCCAGGGAGAAGGGGAGCUUGGAGGCCGCCCCCUGGCCCCGCUCGGUGCCGAGUUCCUGGCUGACCUGGGCCUCUCCCCGUGCCUGGAGGUUGGCCAGAGGCGUGUCUCUUCCUUGUCAUCUCCCUGGACAAUCCAUACAUACUUUCUCAGCUAAAGACAUUCCCCACAUUCUUAUCCCAUCAAAAAGGAAAUGCAAAGGUUUUUUUUUUAAAGGGAAGGGGAGAUCACCGGUUCAGCACUUGGUCCAUGCAGCUGGUCCAUGCAGCCGAGGCUAGGAGAGCACGUAGCGGCGUUCGCAUUUUAUCCCUGAGUGCUUGCAGGCACCCCUGACCCCUGAUGACGCUGCUCUAUCCCUUUGGGUCCAGCAGUAGGACCUGACAUCACUGGUGCCAGGACUCCCUCCCGAGAGCAUCCACCAGCAGCAGACUCCUGCCUUCCUCCUGGCUUUUAAAACGGCAAACUAGAUCCUGCAGUUCAACGUCUUAAAAGCUUUUAAUGGCUUCCCAUUAUUAGUUGAAGUGCCUGCUGCAUAAUAGGCCCUGGUGAGCAUUGAUUGAGCUGCUGACGAGAGUGGGUCUGGGAAAAAGACCAGGUCCUUGCCCACCCUCAAGGCUGAGUCCUUUUUGUAGUUGGAUGCCUCUGCUUAGAUCAGAAGGCAGGCUCGUCUGGUCGGAGGCAGCUAGCGAAUAAGGGUUUGAAUAAUGAAGGUUUUGGAGUUCCCACUGUGGCUCCGUGGGUACGAACUCGACCGGUAUCCACGAGGAUGCAGAUUCUAUUCCUGGCCUCGCUCAGUGGGUUAAGGAUCUGUUGUUGCCAUGAGCUGUGGUGUAGGUCGCAGACGGCUAGGAUUCCGUGCUGCUUUGGCUGUGGUGUAGGCCGGCAGCUGUGGCUCCGAUUCGGCCCCUGGCCUGCAAACUCCCAUAUGCCGUGGGAAAGGCCCUAAAAAGCCAAAAA
rnacentral:lncRNA from 1 species